GGAUAUAUUUGUAUGUCAGUGUAUGUGUGUGUCAGUAUAUAUCUGUGAAUGUUUUAAUGUCUGUCUGUAUCAGUCAUUACGUCUGUCUGUGUAUAUGUCAGUAUGCGUGUGUGUGUGUGUCAGUGUGUAUGUCAGUAUGCCUGUGUGUGUGUCAAUGUGUCUGUCAGUGUAUGUGUCUGUGUGUUUUAGUAUAUCUGUCAGUGUAUGUGUUUGUGUGUCAGUAUAUCUGUUAAUGUAUGUAUGUAUGU